UCCAAGAUUACAGUCCAAAUUGGGGCAGUUUCCCAAUUUUCCCAAAUCCGAGUGAUGAUAUAGUAAUGCAUCCUGGAGAUAUCGAAUUCAAGGUUUACAUUUUCAUCCCCUUUAAAAUAUAGUUUCCUUCUCUUCGUUAUCAUCAUCUUCUUUUAGUAGAAAAACUACAAGGUGAUAAUGGUUUUAUUUUUAGAAGUGCAAAGGGGAAUUAGAAGAAACAACGAGAAAAAAGAGAGGAUACAGGAUAAAAGGUUACAGCCUUACAGGUUCGGGCAUAUGGACUACUUGACUAACGGAUAUUAUGCUUUGAUUCCAUUUCUUUUUGAUUUCUUACUUUUACUUAGUCAACCUUUUUUGGCUUAUGAAUUGCUGACUAACAAAUAUUAUAAUUUCUCUAAGUUGAACUGGUGACAAUAGACAUUUUAAUUUCUUUGCAUGCCACUGCAGAGACAGAUUUGGAGAUAAAAACUUUUGCAUCUAAUGUACUGCUGCUGGCAGAUUCUAAUAUUAUGAGGUUGUAUUGGAUUUUUAUGCACGUUGGUAAGUUUAUAGCGUGUAAUACCCGUAAUCUGCAUAAACAAAAUGUAACCAACUCUCUGCCUAGGUUUAGGUAAGGUGUGUUUUUCACAAAACCCUUCUCUUUGCAAGUACAUUAUCAAAUAUCCUUCUCUCUCUAAAGGUGAUUAAGAGCUGAAUUGACAAGGUUUUCGGUGGAAAAUUAGGAACUCCAGAUUAUGUUGUACUUAGUAACUUCGGUUUUUCUGUUUUGUGUUCUAUACUUUUGAAAAUACUGCAGCUCAAAUUAAGGUAUCUAAGAUCUUAUGUGGUUUCUACACUAGAUAUCGUCAUACACCAUGAUACUUUUACAAAUGAGUCAAAAUUUUGUAUUAUCUAACCUCAACGGAUUUGCUGUUUUUGUUUGAAUAACUGUUGUCUUUAUGAUAUAGUGUUAUUGUUUGGAUUUUGUGCUCUCUCUUAAUUGAGAAUCGCCACAAGUGAAGAAACAAUAAUGAAGUUUUGAUCUCCAUCUGAAUCUGUAGGGAUUCACCAAAUUCAGGUUUUAGUUCAUAAAAUGGUUUUUUCAUAUUCGAUGCUCGCAUUGUGUAAUCCUUAUCUUAGGUUGCGAAGAAAAAACAAAGUGAACAUAUCAAGCUUCCAGAGUGUGCGUAGAUGGAUGAGUUACGUCUUUGGUUUUUUGGGCUAUAGGCUUUUUAAACUUUUUCUUUAUGGAUUCUUAUGGAUCUAUGACCCUAAAUAUUAAUUACUACACUUUGAUGCAUUCCUGCAUACAAACCAUUCGUAGAUGGUUCUAUAUUUUAGUUGCAUUUAUGUUGUUUACUAUAUUAUUUUUGAGCAUUUAUUCAGUUCGAUGGUUCUAACCGAUAAAAAGACAACAACAGGGAAACCACAUUCAUGGGAUUUUCAACGCAUGUGCAAAGAGAGGCUAAGAAAUCAAAAUGUGAUCCUACUAAAGAACUGAAGGAUGGCCCCAUACAUACGGGAGGUUACAAGCCUGUGUUAGGCGGCAAGAGGUUGUACUUCACUUCUUUCAAUAAUGUCAAAGUUGCAACCGGAGAUAACUGGAGUUCCAAGGUACAAAGAAAAAUUCAGUUACACAAACGAAGAAUGAACUAAAAUUGAAAUCCUCUAGAAAAAAGAGUGACAACAAAGUGGUAGUCCAAUGAAUUCUAUUAACGUUAGAUUUGAUUAUUCUAAGUUAAUUUCAUUAGUCACAGUUUUUAAUUCUUGCA